GAAAUGCGAUAAGUAAUGUGAAUUGCAGAAUUCAGUGAAUCAUCGAAUCUUUGAACGCAUCUUGCGCUCCUUGGUAUUCCGAGGAGCAUGCCUGUUUGAGUGUCAUUAAAUUCUCAACUCUCUCAUACUGUUUUUGUAUAGGAGAGCUUGGAUUGUGGAGGUUUUUGCUUGUCCUUCGUUUUGAGGUCAGCUCCUCUGAAAUGCAUUAGCGGAACCAUUUGCGAUCUACCACAAGUGUGAUAAAUUAUCUACACUGGCGAGGGGAUUGCUCUCUGUGUUGUUCAGCUUCUAAUUGUCUCUACUUCUUGGGACUACUUUUGAAUACUUGACCUCAAAUCAGGUAGGACUACCCGCUGAACUUAAGC
rnacentral:misc_RNA from 1 species